UUCCGAUCGGCCAAUCAGAUAGUCGUUAUCAUUAAUACACGGAAUGUGUUCAAAUUUGAAACUAAAAAUAUUGUACGAGUAUGUAUCCUGUCCAGCAUUGUCCAGCUGUGGUUACAUUAAUCAUGUUAAUAAUAAUUAAUACUCAACAACCUUCGAUAAAUAAAGAAAUAGACAUUAAAGGCAGAACAUUUAGGUAUGACAUUAGCUGUUGAACCAAGAAUUUACGAUGAGACGAUGUGCUGAUGUAGGGCAGACGUACAGCAGAUACAGAUUAAUCAAUGAAGACUUAAUGAAACAGGAUUGGAAUGCAGAAACUUUGGACUUAAUUCAUGAAUAAUAUCAAUGGAUGAUGAAGAAAACUGACCAAACUGACAAAGUAUUUCGUAUGCAUGUAAACUGGACAUUUUUGUUUGUUUAAUGCACAAUAAACAAAUUUGUAAAAUUGAAAAUUAAAACCAUUUGUAAAAGAUUUCAAGAGGACCAAAAGUUACCAUGGACUUAUGAAUGAUUUAACCAGAAAAAUGACUUACAUGUACAAUUAAGUAAAUACAUCUUUGACUAAAAAAUUAUAAUUUAUCAACGCUAAUAUUUUAAAGAGGUUGAUCUUUUCGUUUAAAAGGUCUUAAAUGUGGAUGAUGUAUAAACUGUUGUAAUUUCUUUAAUUGUUGACUUGCAUUAAAAUGGUUAUUGUCUUA